CAAUAGCGUAUAUUAAAGUUGUUGCAGUUAAAAAGCUCGUAGUUGGAUUUCUGGUGGGAGCGGCCGGUCCGCCGCAAGGUGUGUACUUGGUUGUCUCCUGUCAUCCUUGUGGGAACUGCUCUGGCAUUAAGUUGUCGGGGUUGGGGAACACAUCGUUUACUGUGAAAAAAUUAGAGUGUUUAAAGCAGGCUUAUGCCGUUGAAUACAUUAGCAUGGAAUAAUAAGAUAGGACUUUGGCGUCUAUUUUGUUGGUUUGCACACCAAAGUAAUGAUUAAUAGGAUAGUUGGGGUAUCGUAUUUAAUUGUCAGAGGUGAAAUUCUUGGAUUUAUGAAAGACGAACUUCUGCGAAAGCAUUUACCAAAGAUGUUUUCAUUAAUCAAGAACGAAGUUAGGGAUCGAAGACGAUCAGAUACC
rnacentral:rRNA from 1 species